CAGUCGCCACGGUAAAACAGAGGGUGCGAGCGUUAAUCGGAUUUACUGGGCGUAAAGCGUGCGUAGGCGGCUAAUUGAGUCGGAUGUGAAAUCCCCGAGCUUAACUUGGGAAUUGCAUUCGAUACUGGUUAGCUAGAGUGUGGGAGAGGAUGGUAGAAUUCCAGGUGUAGCGGUGAAAUGCGUAGAGAUCUGGAGGAAUACCGAUGGCGAAGGCAGCCAUCUGGCCUAACACUGACGCUGAGGUACGAAAGCAUGGGGAGCAAACAGGAUUAGAUACCCGAGUAGUCCCUGUCUCUUAUAC
rnacentral:rRNA from 1 species